rnacentral:rRNA from 1 species
ACCCUUAGAUGUUCUGGGCCGCACGCGCGCUACACUGACUGGUGCAACAAGUGUCGCUCCUUGGCCGAUAGGCCUGGGCAAUCUUUGAACGCCAGUCGUGAUGGGGAUAGAUUCUUGCAAUUUUUGAUCUUCAACGAGGAAUUCCUAGUAAACGCGAGUCAUCAACUCGCAUUGAUUACGUCCCUGCCCUUUGUACACACCGCCCGUCGCACCUACCGAUUGAAUGGUCCGGUGAACCCUCCGGAUCGGCUCGCGCCAACGCAAGUUGAGCAAAGGCCGAGAAGUUGGGUAAACCUUACCAUUUAGAGGAAGGUGAAGUCGUAACA